rnacentral:piRNA from 1 species
UACUAAAUCUGAUUCCUCAGGUGGUAAG